CGCGGACAGCUACAAAAGCCCACCACGCGGGACGGCCAGUUGGGGCACGACAUCGCUCGAGAAACGAUGGAAACCCUAUCCUUUGUUCAGCCGCCAUCAAGCAU